CGCUACCUUCAGGUUUGGCUAGUUCCAGGAGUGGCUUCAAAGUUUUGCGAUUGGUUGAGGAACAGUACAUUACUUGUUUUUAAGCUAGGGCCCGAUUGGGAUAUAACUGAUGGACACGGACUAAUACAUGGUGUGGAGGAAUAACUGUUGCUUAAGUCGCACUGAUCUAAUAGCUUCCAAAGUUCUUCAGGUGCAUAACAAAUUACUUUGCGUAGAAGAGAAUGUCGGCUCUAAGGCUGUUGUAAGAUCCCACAUUUGUAUGGUACCAUUAGAAUGGCCAGUAAAUAUGAAACGCCUUGGCCUUGAACCCAUUCGGCUAGACCCUUCGCAUUCGUGUACAUAAAAUGAACUAAUAAUGCUACCAUCUACCGAUUUAAUUACACACACUCGUUUUCCAUUCGAUGCCAAGCGUACAAACAACUGAUCAGUCUCAGGUACAACUUUUUGAACAAACACUUGUUCAUCAUCUUGCUCUCCGAACGGCCCUAUAUGCAUUAUAGCUGAUGCAAGGUUCAAUUGCUUCUAAGGAUACAAUUUUGAAGCUUGCUUCCGGUGUAGAUCCAGGCUGAGUAGAGAUCAUUCCACGGAACCUCUUUACAGCCCAGCUUCUAACGUGAUUAUACUCGGAACAAACUGAUACUAAAUACUUCUCUGAUAAUGUUACCUGCAGAAGAAAUUUGUUGUUACUUUGAUUACAAGUAGUGAAGACAGAAAAUACUAUGUAGAGUAUUUCAGGAUGUUGUACAAUGACUCUAACACUGCCGGAUUUGGUGCCGUAUGCAAUUUCGAUCCAGUUGCCACACAGAGCUGUAUAAAGAGUAACAAUUUAUACAAGACCAUUCUACUUGAAAAACUCCUAUGUCGUCAAUGUGAACUACAUACACUUGUUAAAAAAAAAUGUAGGUGAUACAAUGCAAAUAUCACAUGUAUUGAAAAUUAGAGUAAUGGGAAAAAUCCUUUGUGCACAUAUAUUUCAAUGAAGAGAAAAUGAAAAAUCUUUAUAUCACAUGCUUUGUACUGUGACAAUCAAUAAAGAAUAAUUAUGCAGAACAAGA